rnacentral:snRNA from 1 species
UUUACUUUAUUACUGAGAGAAACCUUAUCUGUUCUUAUCAGUUUAAUAUCUGAUACAUCCCCUAUCUGGGGACCAUAUAUUAAACGGAUUUUUGGAACAGGGAGAUGGAAGAAGAGCUUGCUCUGUCCACUCCACGCAUCAACCUGGUAUUGCAGUACCUCCAGGACCGGUGCACCUCUC